rnacentral:rRNA from 1 species
CAAAAACAUGCCCUUUAGUUUAUUAUUUUAGGUCUGGCUGCCCACUGAUUAUUAAUUGAAUGGCCGCAGUAUUUUAACUGUGCAAAGGUAGCAUAAUCAUUAGUCUUUUAAUUGAAGGCUUGUAUGAAUGGUCGGACGAAGUACAUACUGUGUCAUAAUAAUUUAUAUUAGAAUUUUAUUUUUCAUUUAAAAAGAUGAAAUAGUAUUUAAAGACGAGAAGACCCUAUAGAUUUUUAUAAAUUUGAGUUAUAAGAAUAUUUGGGUAAAUUUAUUUUUAUAAUUUUAAUUUAUUUUGCUGGGGUGGCAAAAAAAUUUAAAAAACUUUUAUUUUUCAUAAACAUUGAUUUAUGAGUAAUUGAUCUUCUAUUAGUGAUUAUAAGUUUAAAUUACCUUAGGGAUAACAGCGUAAUUUUCUUGGAGAGUUCUUAUCGAUAAGGAAGGUUGCGACCUCGAUGUUGGAUUAAAAUUAAUGUUGGGUGCAGAAGCUCAACUUUUAAGUCUGUUCGACUUUUAAUUUUUUACAUGAUCU